rnacentral:SRP_RNA from 1 species
GCCGGGUGUGGUGGUGGGUACCUGUAAUCCCAGCUACUUGGGAGGCUGAGGCAGGAGGAUCACUUGAACCUGGGAGCUGGAGGUUGCAGUGAGCCGUUAUCACGCCACUGUACUCCAGCCUGGGUGACAAAGUGAGACUCUGUCUCGA